AAUAUAGGAACGAAUUUUUUUUUUUUUGGAUUUUCGAAUAGGGAUAACUAAAUUGCAACAGCAGUAAGGUAGGAAACCAGAACCUGUUGCAAUUCACGGGGAGAUCAAAGGAUGAUCUGCGGUGGUGGAGAUGAUGGUGGAAUUUGGCGACGAUCUUUUAAGCAAUUGUGGGAAUUGCUUUGGGCGAUUGUGGAGGGUUGAUGGAUGGCUGUGGAAGGGCAGCGAGAUGCCAAGAAUGCUGCUCUGAUACCAGGUGUUAGAACCCUUGUAGAUUCUAAACUUGGGAUUGAUCUCUUUAGG
rnacentral:lncRNA from 1 species